rnacentral:rRNA from 1 species
UACGUAGGUGGCGAGCGUUGUCCGGAUUUACUGGGCGUAAAGAGCGCGCAGGCGGUCGUUCAAGUCGCGUGUGAAAGCCCCCGGCUCAACUGGGGAGGGUCACGCGAUACUGAUCGGCUCGAGGGCAGGAGAGGGUAGUGGAAUUCCCGGUGUAGUGGUGAAAUGCGUAGAUAUCGGGAGGAACACCAGUGGCGAAGGCGACUACCUGGCCUGUUAUUGACGCUGAGGCGCGAAAGCUAGGGGAGCAAACGGG